rnacentral:lncRNA from 1 species
GGUGUUGGACAUGAUGGCCCUUGGGGGUCCCUUCCUCCUCAGGAUAUUCUGAUUGCUGAACUGCUCUUACAGCUUUUCAAAACAUUCCUACUUGUUCUUUGCUGCAUCUGUUUGAAAGUGUCUUGAAGAUGAAGUUAUUUCCUGGAGGAAUUCUGGACAUCAUUUUUUGCCUUUUUGUCUCUCUGGGGAUUCUCAAGAAGGAAAGAAAACUAUGGUGUUACUGCUGGGAGGAUUCUUCCUGAUCAUUUGGGAAUCCAUUCUGGAAGCUUGAUCCAAAUGACAGCUGCCUCCAUUUACCACUCGACACAUUGCUGUGGGUAUUUGGUUACAAUCAAGACUGGAGGUGUGAUUACAGUCUAAAGUACCAGCAAGGAAACCUCAAAUGGUUCAGGCUAAAGCAAGCACGGGUGCAGGACAACCAGGAUGGGUCUGUCAUUCUGGUUUGCUGCACUGAAGUGAGACUGUGAGCUCUCUGAAGGAUGGGAUGUCUCCUCAUGCUCCCUCGCUGAAAGUCAGAGCCUCUGUCACAGGAAGCCAUGAGCACAGAGCAUGAGCCAGGAAUACUUGCUUGGCCCACAGUAAAGCAGCGCCUGCAGCAAGCCAGCAGAGAAACAUCCCAAGAUACAGAUUUGAUUACACAGAAGCUGAAUUUCAGAAUCACCUGAGCACCCAGCAUCUUUCUUUCUGCACCUGCUGUCAGUGAGGCCACUCUCUAUUAAGGUUUCAAGACAUACAAUCUAAAUAUCCUUACUAGAUGUGCCCAUUAAAAAAUAAAAGAGUGUCUUAUUCAUAGAUGAAUUAUUAA